AGCUUUGAAAAAAAACCAAAAGAUUAGUUUUCCUUUUUGUAUUACGGUUUUUAGGAAAAUAAGAAAAAUUUCUUAACUCGAAAAAAUAAGAUCUAAAUUAGAUUAGAAUUUAAGGUUCAAUUUUACAUAAUUAAUAUGUGUAUUGAUUAAAGAUGAUAAAGAAUUUAGUUUAGAGGAGAAAAUUUUUCGAUUAUUUUUAUUUAGUUUAAAAUUGUAAAAAAGUAAAAGCUUUUUUUUUGAAUUGUGAUAAAUUUUUUUACUUUAAAAAAAAAUAAUAAAGUUUCAGAUUGAUUUAUUUUUUUUAAUAAAAUAUUAUUAAUACAGGUUUAAAUAAAAUAAAGUUUCAAUCAUUUUAAAAAAAAUAUAAAAAAUGAUUUUCUUUUUUAGUAAUUAAAAAAUUAGUAUAAAAAAAUGUAAUAAAGAAUUCAAUUGGCUUUCCAACUGUUUAUUAAAAACAUUUCUUUUUUUUUAAAAAGUAAACUCUGCUCAAUGAAAUUUGUUUAAAUUGCUGCAGUAUUUUGACUGUGCAAAGGUAGCAUAAUUAUUUGUCCAUUAAAUAUGGAAUUGUUUGAAUGAGGAAUCUUGAGAAAGUAUUUGUUUUAUUAAUUUUAUUUUUAAAUUUCAUUAAUAGUAAAGAUGCUAUUAGAAAUAAAAAAUUUUAAUUAAGACGAAAAGACCCUAUAGAGUUUAAAAUUUUUUUUAAAAAAUAAAUUUAAAAUUUUUAAUGGGGAAUUAGAGAAUAAUAUGUUUUUUUUCUUAAAAAAAAAAAACUUCCUUAGGGAUAACAGGGUAAUUAGACUUUAGAGUUCUUAUCAAAAGUUUUGUUUACUACCUCGAUGUUGAAUCAUAAUUAAAUUUAGGUGUAGGUAUUUUAGAUUUUAGUCUGUUCGACUAUUAAAAUUAUUCGUGAUUUGAGUUUAGACCGAUGUAAAUCAGGUUGGUUUUUAUCUAAUAAUUUUAAGUGUUGUACGAAAGGACUCAUCUUAUUUUAAUU
rnacentral:rRNA from 1 species